ACUGAGAAGGCAAUAGAAUUGGCAUCACCAUUUCAACUUUUAAGGUACUGUCUGAAUUAUGAUCCCAAUCUAGUUCAUUUCAUUAAGAUUAUUUCGUCCAACUUACUAAUGCAUAUAUCUGAACUAAAAUUAAGAGGCUUCUUCAAUUAUAUGCUACGAAGGUACUGUAUCACAUCUGCUAAUGAAAUACUUUAUAUUGAAAGACUUGGUAGGCUUAAUUUACUAGUAAUAACUGAGUAAUAUUAUGGGUUGGUAGAGCAUGCCCAACAAUGAUUAAUGAUUUAGCAUGCUUCAAAAUUUCAUGACUCCUUUUAUUUUGCCAUCGGUUUGUUAUCCGUGUAAGAAAUAAUUCUCACGACAAAUUCAACUGGAUACCUUCGUUAUCCAUGUGACUUGUGAGAAAUAAUUCUUGCGACCAAAUCAAUUGGGUACAUAUUUAUUUUGCCUGCUCUGUUAUGCGACCUCAGAUGUGAAACUUUGAACUGAAAUGGUCAUUUGUCAUUAUGUGAUGUGGUUGGUGAUGAAAAGAAUCUUAUUUUGUCGUUUGCAAUUAGUUUAUCGACAUGUUUCCUUGUUGUACUGGUUUUCGGGUGGGAUAGCUGGCUCCGGAUUGUUCUACCAUUUAAUGUAUAGCACAGCAUGUAGUAUAGGUUUUGAUGUAUCUUGUUUACGAAGUGUACUGGUUGAGCAUACUGGUGCACCUCUUGGAUAAAUUACUUGUAUGUUCGUGUUUCACGGAUCGUCUGCUGGAGGCGGGAAGCUGUGAUGUUUUGGAUCCAUGGUUGCUUGGUUCGCUGCCAACUUCUGAUGGUGUCCUUUUGCAUAGGGGCUGAAGGUGAAGUAAACUGUCUUCUGUAAUGAGGUGUUUUUGCUUAUGCCCAUUUGGGUCCGUUCAAGAUGUGCUUGUGACUAAGAUGACCGUGAUUGCGAUUAUGGCCUGUAUUUCUGCUGCUGUUGCUGCUUGCCUGCACACUCUGUUUGCUUUGGCAGGGAAGCUUGUCUCAAAUUUGCGCUACUUCUGUUUAUUCUCAUAGAAUCUUUGGGUUUGUGUUUGUGGAUGUACUAGUGAACUGCUAUGCCUGGUAUUGCUAGCAUUUCGUUCAGGGAUUGACAACUGUUCGUUUUGACUGUUACUGUAUUGUACCUGUUUGCGUGGGAUGUUCUGCAAAUGGAAUGGUACCCCAACUGAGAUUGUAGGAGGAUCAUCUCUUGAUUCUUAGCCUUCUAUGGGUUUACAUCAUACUGUGGACUUGCGGGGAAAGGAGAACGAAAGUGUGAUUUUAGAACUGAGAUGGUAUGGCAUCAUAUCUCUCGACCACCUAUGGGUUCAAAUCCUCCUGUGGACUUGCGGGCAAGAAAGGAGAAGGAAAUGUUGGUUUUUAUUCUCUGAAUGGGUCGACCCUACCCAGAUAUUUCCUGAUUUAAUUAAUUGGGCUACUGGAAAAGGUUUAAAUUUUUACUUUGGAAUAAACCUUUUCUUCGUGUAUAUAUAUAUAUAAGAUUUUACA